rnacentral:tRNA from 2 species
GCCGGGUUAGCACAGUGGUAGUGCAGCGGUUUUGUAAACCGUUGGUCGGGGGUUCAAAUCCCUCACCCGGCACCA